rnacentral:antisense_RNA from 1 species
UUCGGGGCGGGCCGUGGCAGGGAGCCUCUCGGGGCUGCCGGUCUAUUGGUUAAACGAACCGGUUUUGCAACCUUGUCAUGUGCCUGCCCCAGC